GUUUACGUUACGCACUGACGUAUGGAGAGACGCGUUACUGGGGGGAAGGUUCUAGAAAAGCGGCGGCAGCGGUUCUAGCGGCAGUAGCGGCAGCGCCGGGUGCCGGGUGGAGGUGCAGUUAGCGGAGUUUCUCGAGCAGCAGCAGUUCUCACUACAGCGCCAGGACGAGUCCGGUUCGUGUUCGUCCGCGGAGAUCUCUCUCAUCUCGCUCGGCUGCGGGAAAUCGGGCUGAAGCGACUGAGUCCGCGAUGGAGAAAACUUUAGAAACUGUUCCUUUGGAGAGGAAAAAGAGAGAAAAGGAACAGUUUCGUAAGCUCUUUAUUGGUGGCUUAAGUUUUGAAACCACAGAAGAAAGUUUGAGGAACUACUACGAGCAAUGGGGAAAACUGACAGACUGUGUGGUUAUGAGGGAUCCUGCAAGCAAAAGAUCGAGAGGAUUUGGUUUUGUAACUUUCUCAUCCAUGGCUGAGGUUGAUGCUGCCAUGGCUGCAAGGCCUCAUUCAAUUGAUGGGAGAGUAGUUGAACCAAAACGCGCUGUAGCAAGAGAGGAGUCGGGAAAACCAGGGGCUCACGUGACUGUGAAGAAAUUGUUUGUUGGUGGAAUUAAAGAAGAUACUGAGGAACAUCACCUUAGAGAUUACUUUGAAGAAUAUGGAAAAAUUGAUACCAUUGAGAUAAUUACUGAUAGGCAGUCUGGGAAAAAAAGAGGCUUUGGCUUUGUUACUUUUGAUGACCAUGACCCUGUGGAUAAAAUUGUGUUGCAAAAAUACCACACUAUCAAUGGUCAUAAUGCAGAAGUAAGAAAGGCUUUGUCUAGACAAGAAAUGCAGGAAGUCCAAAGUUCUAGGAGUGGAAGAGGGGGCAACUUUGGUUUUGGGGAUUCACGUGGUGGCGGUGGGAAUUUUGGACCAGGACCAGGAAGUAACUUUAGAGGAGGAUCUGAUGGAUAUGGAAGUGGACGAGGAUUUGGUGAUGGCUAUAAUGGGUAUGGAGGAGGACCUGGAGGUGGCAAUUUUGGAGGUAGCCCUGGUUAUGGAGGAGGAAGAGGAGGAUAUGGUGGUGGAGGACCUGGAUAUGGAAACCAGGGUGGGGGCUACGGAGGUGGUUAUGACAACUAUGGAGGAGGAAAUUAUGGAAGUGGAAAUUACAAUGAUUUUGGAAAUUAUAACCAACAACCUUCUAACUAUGGUCCAAUGAAAAGUGGAAACUUUGGUGGUAGCAGGAACAUGGGGGGACCAUAUGGUGGAGGAAAUUAUGGUCCAGGAGGCAGUGGAGGAAGUGGGGGUUAUGGUGGAAGGAGCCGAUACUGAGCUUCUUCCUAUUUGCCAUGGAUCUUUUAGAUGCUGCUUCUUCAAUGCAAGGAAAGGAAAUAACCCCAGCGAGGUACUCUUCAGGGACACAGGUCUAGUACAAGAGAACUGUUGACGGCUACUAAGUUCAGCUAGUCUUUAAAAAACUGUGCUGUUUCUACAAAACUUUAACCACAGUAGUUUAUAAGGAUGCCAACGAAAGCUGAGGGUGUAGAGCAAAGUAGUGCUAAGCUUCAGUUAAACUUCUUUAGCAUUGAUAUGAACCAUGGACAAGUAUAUUCUGCUGCCACAAAGACUGUAAAGUGCUUCAUUUCAACAGCUGAGGCAAGCCAAGUGAUCAUUAAUAAAGCUUUUCUUGGUUCCUUCAGUGGUGUUGGUAGUAAAAUGGAAGGUGUCUUGCUGCAGGUAACUAAUGAAGAAGUGGUCAACCACAGAGUCUUCAAGAAAUAAGAAAUUCUGUACCAUCUGAAAGUAGUUCUUGGUGCCUUCAUUUAAGAAGCACUUAAGAUUAAAGGGAAAUGUUUUUGAUAAACAAAAACUUGAUUUUAGUACAGGUUCUUGAUUAAAAAAAUGAGUGUUUGUAAAAUAACAUCAGCUAGAGAUAAAUGUAUCGUGUUUUUAAAUUAGGUUGUGUGAAUAGACAGAUAAAUUUCUAUUUUAAAUAUAAAAUUUAUAAAAUAAAUACUUUUAUAUGCAAAUAUUUGGUGUAAUGCUUACACAUGAAAUGUGUGAAACUUGUUCUAUUAACAUGUAGCUGUCUGCAAGAUUGCCAUCCCCUAAAUUUUUAAAGCAGUUUGCACAAAGCUAUGCAUAUUCUACUUUUUGAAUAUUAAGAGUCAAAUGAGAAGAGCAUUGUGGACAUUAUUUAUUGUCCUUAAUAAAAUGCUAUUUUUUAUGCACUGUAUAUUCAGUGUUUGAAUACUGCUACUUUGCUGUAUCUUUGAUAUUGGUGGUGGCUUUUGAAUUGAUGGAUUUUAACCAGCUAGUGCUCCAUAAACUGGUUUGUGCAAAGCACUGAAACAAAAUUGGAAAAUUUGUCAAAUGUCAGUCAGUUCUAUUGCAGUUUACACUUCACAUGUGAACAUCAGUGAUUAUCAUUGGAGUUAGAGCUUUCUGUAUCACAUUUAGUAAUGGGGACCAUCUCUAGAUGAUUGUCUAACUUAAAAGGUGAACAAAGUUGUGUUUCCUUUGGUUUUGAAAAUAUCACAGGUAAGUCAAAUAACAGUACUAUAAGCUUGUAUUCAAAAUAAUGUGCAUCUGUCACCAAUUGCACUUGUCAGAAUACUUGGUUUCCUCUACAGAGACAUUUUAACUUUGAAGAAGCAAUCAAACUGGUCUAAUAAAGGUGCAAAAUAUUGAGAACAAACACUAGGUUUGAGUAACUGGCUAACUGGAGAUAAAGGUUUACGGCAACUAAUGCUGGAUAGUGAACACAAGGUGCUUUUCCCAGUUACAAGUAGAAGGGAGUGACAGAUGGUAUGGUACCUUUCUUUAUUUCAGGUUUAACAUUGCAACAGUAAACUUGCUUUGCAUCUGAGUUCAUUCACUUACAGGCGUAGCCGUGAUUGUGGAUAAAAGCUCAAACUAGCAUAAAGGACAGGUUGGAGAAUUUACAUCCAAAAAUGAGUGAAAAUUAUUAGCGCUUAUCUCUCCCUGGAGUUUGUAAUAUCCAACAUUGAUCGCCAUGUGGUUAUUUUCUAUUGAUCUGAUGUGUUUACUGUGACUCUAAACAUUGGGAACCAGCUUUGAAUGCAGUUCUGUAUAAAUAUGUGAAAAACUGCUUCUGUAGAAAAUCUUUGCUCCUGUGGCUUAUAUCCCUGUUGGAUUGAUAAGUCAUGGUGUUUCUAGCCUCGAGGUCUUCAAGAAAAGUCUUAGGACACGUAAACCACGUGUUUGUCCCAUUUGAACAUUAGGAGCUCACAUCUAUAUAGCUGUUUGACAUAGUAUGCUUACAAUAAGAGUUGGUGCUUUAUAGACUGCAGUUCUUAGGUGGGGGGUUGGAGGAUUUACAGGUACUGAUGGAAAGCCAGGCAAGGUAAGUGGAAUGAAUAGUGCUGUGGUGGGGUUGACUUUAAAUCCUAAAUGAAGACUCCAUAUGUAGGCUCAGCUCCUUAUAUUCGAGAGGUCAAUCCACAUAGAUUUCACAAAAAACAUGGAUCACACCUGUGAAGGUGGUCACUUGGGUGUUACGUAUUGGGUAGGAAGUGUGAGAAUUUUAAGGGAUGCAGUAGCUGUGGACUGCUAAAUUCGGUUUCACUUUGAUUCCAUUUGCCUAGCUUUUUGUGACAUGAACUAUAACAAGUGAGCACUAUUGUACACUGAAGGUAAGUUCAGAAUUUGCUGAGGUGCUUAUAUUAAAAGUGUACUUGAAACCACGGGUGAAGUGGUUUCAACCCCAUUAAAGUGAAUGGUUCCUGUUCUGUGAGAUUUUUCAGUGAACUAGAUGAGGGUCAUAGCAAAUAAUCUUUGUGCAUCUGCUAAUUUAAAGAUAGUUGAGGACUGCAGUCAGUUCAUACUUCCUGAAUCCAAGAUGCUCAGGUACAACAACCAGGAACUAGCCAUUGUGUAACAAUUAACCUUGGUUGAACAUCCCUCCAUAAUCAGGGGCUACUAAAACAACAAAUGGUUUUUAUCAAUUAUGAAUAAACUGGGCAAGUAAUAACAUCCUUUGGUGAAAAGCCCUGUCAGGCUGGUCAGUUUGUUGAGGAAAACUAGACUUUGGUAUUAAUAUUUAAAAACAUUUGCUGGCAAGCUUUAGAGCUUGAAAACAACCAAUAAACCAUUUCUGUAAAAUAAGUACUUUUGUCACAUUUCACAUUCUAAUCUUAACACCCUUGAUUCUGAUUGCUCACUAAAAUUUCUAAAUGCUUUGGGCAAGAACUUUAAAAUCUAGAGCUGUGACCAUUCUCAUUUCAAAAUCCAUUUCUGGGAUUGCUUGGCUUUUUUAUGUUCAUUGCUUUACUAUUUUGUUCUUGAAGCUAGCUACCUUUUCUGCAUUUUAAAUAAACACCUAUCAUGGUUUCAGUAUUUCUAAUUGGGUUAUCCAUUAGCCUCUACUAUUUGGUUGCUUUAAUAUGGUAGAAAUAAAAAUACUUUGGUUUUUGUUUGAGACAGGGUCUCACUAUGUAGUUGAGACUGAGCUGGAACUCACUAUGUAGACCAGGUUGGUCUCGAACACACAUCAGAGUGCUGGGGUCACCCGGUCACCCAAAUACUUUGGGAUAUGAGAUUGUCCUGACAAGCUGGUUUUGAUUGGGGGUUACGUGGUAUCAGUUACUGCUACUGCUGUGCUAGAUAAUCACUUAGUGGGUAUUUGGGGAAGGAGAAAUCUUGACAUUUCUGUAUAAAAAGUUCAAAUAUGAAAUUUUAUUUUCAAACAUUUGGAAAAUAUUUACAAAAAUUAAAGCUUUCAUCGUAGUGCUAAGUGAGAACCAUAUUUGCAGUUAAUUAAAAAAUAUACCCCAGUGUCUGCUUUUUGGAGUAGCCACUAUUAGAGGUGUCUGCAAUAGAAAUGGUAUAUUGUGGCUUCCCCCUCAAUUUCUCGUUAACAAUGAUUCCUAAACAUUAAGUCAUGUGAUGCAAGUAGCAGGAAAAUUCCCAAGUCAGUUUAGUUUAUGACCCAAGUAAGUUUCUGAAUGUUGGUUAUCCACAGAAAUGAAGUCCAUCUUCAACUUCUAUUUUUUCUCUUUUCCUUUUGGACUGGGGCCACCAGUUCUUUUGGUACAAUGGAAACAGUUCCAUCCUGGCUGCACUGAAGUAUAUACUGGUUUGGAUUAACGGGCCUACCUUGGUCAUCUGUUAACCUGCUAAAAAGGUCAUGAUAAAGGUCAUGCAGUUUCUGUUUAAUUGUAUUAAUAGCUUUGUUACAUUGGGCUUGCUCUCUUUCAAGGGUUUCCUUUCUUGCCUGCAAGUUGCAUACUUCACCUUCUAAAUUUAAAAUUAUUUCUAAUUUGCGUUUACGACAGUUCUGAGCAGCAACUUUAUUUUUCCCUCUUCGUCUGAUGUCACGCAUCAGUGAGACUUGUAAGUCUGUCAGAUAGUCCCUGCUUAACAUGCUGUUGAAGGAAUCAACAGGCAUGCGGACAAUUUCUUCAACAGAAAAAGGGAUAUGUAGAGCUUUAGCACGCCGUUCAUCACGGCUCAAACUUUUGUCUGUGUCACUGAAGUACUUACUCAUUUUCUGAGAUUCCCCAGAUGUUGAAAAAGAUUGAGAAGUGGGUUCUUGUAAGUGGUAAGUGUGAUUAUGAAAUACAAAAUUUUGGAGACUAGAUUCAUACAUGUUACUGGGUUCUGGGCAAUAACCACCAACAGCCCCUUCUAAAUCAUGCCUGGAAAGACUUUCAAGGUCACUAGUAUAACCUAUAGCACCUUCAUUACAGGUAGAAUGAGAAGAAUUAGACUUGAUGAUGGAUGUGUUACUGUGGCUCAAAUCUAAUGACAAUCCGGAAUCAGAAUCUGGUUCUUGAAAAAGCUGAGAAACUGACAUUGGAUCAAAACCUUCCACAGCCAAUGAUACUAAGUUUAUCUCAUCAAAUAUGUUUGCUUCGAGGCCAUACAGAAGAUCUUGGCUUGUUAGAUUCCUCAUCUGAUGGUCAGCAGAUGGAUGAAAUUCUGUCAAAUUAGUAUCAGGAAGGGUCUGCAGAAAUGGUUCUUGUGCCCGUGAAGUCCUUGUUACUGAAUCUCUUCUAAAUGUGUUGGGACACAGCAACAUGGCUUCAUGAAGAUUUACAUCAUGACUUAUGGCUUGGCUAAAGUUUAUAUUAUGUGCUGAAGAAUUCAUACUGUCACUGAUACUACCUUGAAAAGGAGUAUCUUCCAAUGAAAUGUCCUGAAAAAGGAUGGAAAUAAGACACUUCAGUAUACAACAGCCUAUUUCAAAAACAAUUCUAUUACA